GCCUUUACACAUGCAAGUCGAACGGCAGCACGGACUUCGGUCUGGUGGCGAGUGGCGAACGGGUGAGUAAUGUAUCGGAACGUGCCCAGUAGCGGGGGAUAACUACGCGAAAGCGUAGCUAAUACCGCAUACGCCCUACGGGGGAAAGCAGGGGAUCGCAAGACCUUGCACUAUUGGAGCGGCCGAUAUCGGAUUAGCUAGUUGGUGGGGUAACGGCUCACCAAGGCGACGAUCCGUAGCUGGUUUGAGAGGACGACCAGCCACACUGGGACUGAGACACGGCCCAGACUCCUACGGGAGGCAGCAGUGGGGAAUUUUGGACAAUGGGGGAAACCCUGAUCCAGCCAUCCCGCGUGUGCGAUGAAGGCCUUCGGGUUGUAAAGCAUUUUUGGCAGGAACGAAACGUCGUGGGUUAAUACCCCGCGAAACUGACGGUACCUGCUUAAUAAGUCCCGGCUAACUACG
rnacentral:rRNA from 1 species